GGUAAAGAUAUGAGCUUUGUUUUUGUUGAUAAUAUAUAUAUAUAUAUAAAAUCGAGAUCAUAUGAGAACCAAGGCCUAUAAUAGAAACUAGGAACUCAUCUGAGCAAUUGAUUCAUUUGAUCUAACGAUUGGGAUAUUGUCCGCCUUUUUGCUAGAAUAAUGGCAUUUUGGGAAAUCUAUUCAAUACUAUGCAGAAUUCUUUUUUAUUUUGCUUUCUCUCCCCUCUGUAUACUUUCUUUCUCUUGCUAUGAAUUCUCUCUCGAGCUAUUUUUUUCCUUCGAUCUUCGCUCCGUAUUCUUUGAUUUGGUAAAUCUAAUUUCUUAGCUGGUUAUUGCCGAUGAUCAAAAUGUUGAUGCAAAGCUUGGGAAGGCACGACUAGAGCUUAUGGACUGAUAUUCAAGGAUUCAGUCAGAAUCAUGCAAAGAGCAUUUCUAAGACCAAGGUUCAAGAAUGAGGUGAUUAUAUAAGUUGUUGCUCUUGGAAGUUUACAAAUUGCUAAUGUUGAGUAUAGUUUGGCCAACUACCUAGCUUAUGACUCAUGGUAUCAAAGUAGUGUCAUUCUUUUCAAAUUGGAUUUUCUGCAAACUUGGGAUAGCUUGGAGAAUUACCUAGAUGUUAGUGAAAUUCUAUUUACUUUUGAGUUUGUCUUAUUUACUUUUAAGUUGAUGGUAGUUAUUUACAGGCUUUCUUUGUAGCCUUGGGCGUUGUGCGAAUGGUGUGGCUAUAUGUGCUCAAGGAGCACGGGGUAAAGGGUGUGGUGUUGUGUGUCGGUUGCUGUUGUAAAGUUUGGAUGGGCGAAGGAGCUAGGUUGAUGAUGUGCUAUAGGAUAUUCAAUGCUAGAUACAAAUGGAAAGAGGCUAGCAUUCAGAUUUUGGACUUCACUGCAAUGUGUACUGUGUACUUAUCACAAAGACUUCCCCCUGGACCCUCCCCCAUACACUUACAAUUAUAAAAUGGGGCAUAGAUUUUUUUUAUUUACUUUUGAAUUUUUUUUUAAUUUACUUUUGAGCAAUUUUUUAUUACUAUACAUUAGCCUACUAUAGCUCAAAAGGUAGAGCAUUGUUCAAUUAUACAAAAGAUGUGGGUUCGAUACCCAUGUAGGUUUAUAUGUGUAAUUCAGAGACUAAGCUUUGUAUUUAAGUUUAGUUAUGUGUUUAAUUAGAUUUAUACUGUUUUUGUUUACUUUCAAUUUAAUUUUAUUUACUUAUAACUUGAAAUCCCUUACAUUGAACUCUAUAUUUUUUUCUUAUAACUUUUACUCACCUUGUUAGGAUAUAAAAGUCAAUUACUCAGAGAUUUUUUGUGCUACAAUAAUGUUUGCAUAUUGAUUAGUCAUUUCAAGAUAAUUUUAUUGUUCGAAUACUUUACAGCUAAUUUUAUUGUUCGAAUACAUUAGAGCUAAUUUAAUUAACUUUUUAGUUGAUUUAAUUUACUAUUAAGAUAUUUUGAAUAACUUUAGAGAGUUGUAAUUGACCUUUUAGUUAAUUUAAUUUACUAUUAAGAUAUUUUGAAUAACUGAUUUCUACAAACUUUGAGCCGGAAAUCUGCAAGAAUAUACUUGCUAUUCCUCUAUCACGAAGGCUACUGAAUGAUACACUAUUGGCGAUUCACAAAGGAUGGGUUCUUUUUCUGUAAAAUCCGACUAUUGGCUUGCAAAGGGGAGGGGUUAUCUGCUGUGAGUAAUGAGACUCUGAUAACUGGUGAUGAAGAUCUCUGGAGGGGCAUCUGGAAUUUUGAGGGUCCACCAAAAUUGAGACACUUCCUGUGGAAAGCUUGUAAGGGCUUAAUGGCUGUCAAAAACCACUCUAAUACCACCACAUUGUUCAAGAUAAAUCAUUUUCCAUCUACAAUGCUAGCAGCGAAACUAUUAUUCACACCCUGUUCGAGUAUACUCAUGCUGCAAUUUUCGAAGGAUGGAGUGUUGGGUUAGGGGCUGUUAUCAGAUAUGACAGGGGUGCGCUGGUUGUUAUCAUGGUGCGUACGAUGAAGGCUUGCUAUGGGGUGGCUACUGCUGAAGCAUUAGCUGCGCGAUGGGGCUGGUGCUUGCUAAGAGGCUAUUAUACCAACUUGUGGAGCUUGAGUGUGAUGUUGCCACUGAGGGGGGUAAUGGUGUUGCUCGCAUGGCAGCUAGGCUUAACCCAUCUAAUGGCUUUGAGCAUUUUUUUUUGUAAACUCUUUUCCGCAAGGUUUAAUUGCCUUGGCAGAGCUCCAUCUCCUUUAAUUUAUCCAAUCUGCUCUUUGAGCUUCCUUUAAAAAAAAAAAAAAACAAAAGGUAGAAGUUGGACCUACACCUUAAUAAAUUUAAUUUGCAUAUAUAGAGAUUUCAUUUGAAACAAAAAUUUUCCUUUGAUAUACAUACUUUUUUUAAAAUUUACUUUUGAGGUAUUUUUGUUUACUUUGAGUUAUUUUAGUUAAUUCACCUAUGUAGGAAUCGAAUCUACAUCUCCUAUGUAUUUGCUUAAUGUUCUACCUUUGAGCUAAUAGGUUUAGGUUUUAGCAUAGCUAAUAAUCAAUAACACAAACCAAUAUGGAUUGGAUAAUCCCUGAUUUUAUACUUCGUGUGUCUUCUAUUAGUUCCUAAAUUACGAAAACACAAAAAAAAAAAAAAAAAAAAAAAAAAAAAAAAAAAAAAAAAAAACAAAACAAAAAAAAAUAAAAAAUUACGAAGGAAAUAACAGGUUAUUAUGUUCCUAAACUGCAAAAGUUUAAUACGCAAAAUAUAUUACACCAAUAUAUUCAGAUCCCAACCUCAGAAACUAGAGACAACAUCCAUCUUGUCAAAUAAGAAUCUCAAUUUUAGGAUCCAACCUGUAAGCCAAUAAACCAACAAAUUCUUUGAACAUUUUCACUUUAGUGUGCUUGUUCUGCAUCUGCAAGAGCCAAAAAUCAUAUGAACAUUAGUGCAUAUUCAACAAAUU